UACGGAGGGUGCAAGCGUUAUCCGGAUUUACUGGGCUUAAAGGGUGCGUAGGCGGGCCAUUAAGUCAGUGGUGAAAUCUCCGAGCUUAACUCGGAAACUGCCGUUGAUACUAUUGGUCUUGAAUUCGGUCGAGGUUGGCGGAAUGUGUCGUGUAGCGGUGAAAUGCUUAGAUAUGACACAGAACACCGAUUGCGAAGGCAGCUAGCUAGACCGACAUUGACGCUGAGGCACGAAAGCGUGGGGAUCAAACAGG
rnacentral:rRNA from 1 species